rnacentral:tRNA from 1 species
GCCUCUUUAGCUCAGUUGGUAGAGCAUCCCGAAUUUACUUAAUUUACUUCGGGAGGGUGCAGGGUUCAAGUCCUGUAAGAGGCU